rnacentral:rRNA from 1 species
CAUGUGCACACCCGUCAUCCUCAUCUCUCCACCUGUGCACCUUUUGUAGACUUGGAUUGACUUUCCGAGGCAACUCGGUCGGGAGGACUUGCUGGCAUUAGCUGGCUUUCCUUGCAUUUCCAAGUCUACGUUUUUCAUAUACCCCAUUGAAUGUAACAGAAUGUAACAUUGGGCCUUUGUGCCUAUAAAAACUUAUACAACUUUCAGCAACGGAUCUCUUGGCUCUCGCAUCGAUGAAGAACGCAGCGAAAUGCGAUAAGUAAUGUGAAUUGCAGAAUUCAGUGAAUCAUCGAAUCUUUGAACGCACCUUGCGCUCCUUGGUAUUCCGAGGAGCAUGCCUGUUUGAGUGUCAUUAAAUUCUCAACCAUUAUCAGCUUUUGCUGAUGAUGGCUUGGAUAUGGGGGUUUAUUUUGCUGGCUUCUUCACAGAUUGUCAGCUCCCCUUAAAUGCAUUAGCCGGUGCCCCGCGUGGACUGUCUAUUGGUGUGAUAAUUAUCUACGCCGUGGACAUCUACAAUCAUAUGGGUUUGCACUGCUUCCAACCGUCUGUUUAUUCGGACAAUACAUGACAAUUUGACCUCAAAUCAGGUAGGACUACCCGCUGAACUUAA